GGGGGUGGGCUUUGAGGGUUUAUAGCCUCUCUCUACUCCCUGCUCCGUCUCCCUGUCUCCUGGAUGUGUGGAUGAAAUGUCAUGCCUCUGUCAUGCCUCCUUUGCCACAUGGACUUUAUCCCCUUGGGACUGAAGCCAAAAUUACACUUCCUUCCUUAACUUGCUGUUGGUCAUGAGACUUUUAUCACAACAACAGAAAGGUAACUGACACAAGUACCCGAUUAUUCACAUGGCUAGAGGGGGUCCCCUCUGCGGUCACCUUUUAUACUGACCCGUCUGUUCAAUAUCCCUAAGGCCCGCUGAGAAAAAGGGCCCAGAAGAAGUACCUGAAGGGAAGAAGGGCUUAUCUUGGUUUGCAGAUCUACGGGAUGAAGCCCAUAUGGUGAAGAAGGUUGGAGGAAGGUGCCGGAUUUCCAGGAAGUGAAGAUACAGAUGGUUGCCGACUGCCAAGCGGAUGCUAGGAACUGAGCGUAGGUCCUCCAGGAGAGCAGCCAGCGCUGGUCACUGCUGAGCCAUCUCUCCGAAAAGUUUUAUCACUGUACGACUGAAGAGGACUUCAUGGGACCUGCACGUCUCAUUUUAUCCUGUUAUUGUCACGUUAACAGCGAGCAGUGAACAAGGGUGAUGACGAGUCAGAUGGAGAGACAACAUGCAAGGCAAAUGGCGUUUCCUCAGCACCAACAGGAGGUUGCCCUGAUGCCAGCUGUAGCCACUGCUCACUCUGGCAAGACCGAGUGUGCAAACUUGCCUUUGCUCUUUUUGCUCCGAACAAACCCAGGCCACUCCCGCUGCUCAGGAGACAACCCUUGGACCUGUUUUCCUCCUAUGGUGACACUGACUUUCUUGUCUGUUUUUGAGGUAUGUCCUCACAUAGCCUUUCCUGGCCUCAAACUCAUUUGUCAAACUAAACUACUAUGACUACAACUACUACUCCUCCUUCUCCUU
rnacentral:sRNA from 1 species